rnacentral:lncRNA from 1 species
CCACCCUGGGAAACUUCCUUGUACUUCCACUCAGCAGGGGCCAUUCUCUGUCUCCAGAGGCCAGGGUUCCACAAACCUUCUGUUUUCACAUUCUCUCUACCACCUCCUUUAUUCUAGCCUGGGUGUUUAAAAGCAAUCAUUGUCAGAAUAUGCCAUUUAAUCUGUUUUCAUUUUUUAUUGUAAAAAGAGGAUGCAAGGGCUAGCAGUAAGAUUGUAGAUGAAUAAUGAAAGAAUUCCUCACAGCUGUUCAGGGAUAUAUAUUUUUCCUGCAAUGGAGCGAGACGGAUUCCCAUCGCAGCUCGGAGACUUGUUCCAUGAAGCCCCUCAUCUGUCAUGUUCUGAGGGGAAGGGCCUGCCUUGAAGCUGGAAUAAGUCCCUCCAAGGUAGCUACCCAAGAAAAAUACCCUUGAUCUGUUCCAAACUAGAAAGACAGGAAAUCAAAACAAAGCUGACCCCGAUUUCAGUGCCUACCCCACCACGGCUCAGUACAUCAGGGAAGGGGCUGCUGGACGGUUGGCUGUCACUCCACCUCUCCCUUCUGGUUUUCUGUUUGCUUGAGGAGAGAAACUAUGCACCCCCACCUCACCCUUUAGAUGUAUUUUCGUAUUGCCAGCCUCAUUCCUAAAAGGAUUUGAAAUGUCUGACAAAAAUAUGAAUGGUACAGCAAGGUAGAUACUAAGGAGGAACACCAGGCCGAGGAAAUAAAAGCAGGAAAAAUAAGAUAGCCUCGUGAGGC